rnacentral:rRNA from 1 species
GGCCGCGGGAGUUCGAUUGAGGCCUAACACAUGCAAGUCGAACGGCAGCACGGGUGCUUGCACCUGGUGGCGAGUGGCGAACGGGUGAGUAAUAUAUCGGAACGUACCUUAUUGUGGGGGAUAACGCAGCGAAAGCUGUGCUAAUACCGCAUAAUCCCUAAGGGGGAAAGCGGGGGACCGUAAGGCCUCGCGCAAUUAGAGCGGCCGAUACCUGAUUAGCUAGUUGGUGAGGUAAAGGCUCACCAAGGCAACGAUCAGUAGCUGGUCUGAGAGGACGAUCAGCCACACUGGGACUGAGACACGGCCCAGACUCCUACGGGAGGCAGCAGUGGGGAAUUUUGGACAAUGGGGGCAACCCUGAUCCAGAAAGGCCGCGUGAGUGAAGAAGGCCUUCGGG